ensembl:miRNA
ACCUGAAAAGAUGGUUGACCAUAGAACAUGCGCUGUCUCUGUGUCGUAUGUAAUGUGGUCCACGUCUUCUCAAUAUC